UACGUAGGUGGCAAGCGUUGUCCGUAUUUAUUGGGCGUAAAGCGCGCGCAGGUGGUUCGUUAAGUCCGGUGUGAAAGCUCCCGGCUCAACUGGGAGAGGUCAUUGGAUACUGGCGGACUUGAGGCAGGCAGAGGAAGGUGGAAUUCCCGGUGUAGUGGUGAAAUGCGUAGAUAUCGGGAGGAACACCAGUGGCGAAAGCGGCCUUCUGGGCCUGUCCUGACGCUGAGGCGCGAAAGCGUGGGGAGCGAACCGG
rnacentral:rRNA from 1 species